CCGUUGCUUCGGCGGGUUCGGGCCGCCCCGGCCUCGGCCGGGGGGGCCCUCCUUCGCCCCCGUGGAGGGGGCGGCCCGCCGGAGGUACACAAAACUCCUUGACACUUGUACGGCCUCUCUGAGUCUCUGUACUGAAUAAGUCAAAACUUUCAACAACGGAUCUCUUGGUUCUGGCAUCGAUGAAGAACGCAGCGAAAUGCGAUAAGUAAUGUGAAUUGCAGAAUUCAGUGAAUCAUCGAAUCUUUGAACGCACCUUGCGCCCGCCAGUAUUCUGGCGGGCAUGCCUGUUCGAGCGUCAUUUCAACCAUCAAGCCCCGGGCUUGUGUUGGGGAUCUGCGGCUGCCCGCAGGCCCUGAAAACCAGUGGCGGGCUCGCUGUCACUCCGAGCGUAGUAGCACUCGUAUCUCGCUCAGGGCGUGCCGCGGGCUCCGGCCGUUAAACCGCC
rnacentral:rRNA from 1 species